AGUUACCAAAGACUCAGGAAAAGGGAAGGAAACACUGAGUCCAGAUCAGGGGGACAGUCAUCAGAGGUAGAGAGACAGACAGGGCAGCAGGCUAGGCUGCUAGUAUCGCCAGCGAGAGAUUUUUGGGUAUAGUGAGUAUACCACAUGUGGCAUUUUGUACUGUAAUGUAUAUUCACUGUAUGUAUAUUUUGUUCUUGGUUUUGAGCAGUUGUAAAUUUAAGUUGUACAGUAAAGUUGUAAAAUAAUUAUGAGUUA